GUCCACACCGUAAACGAUGGAUACUAGGUGUAGGGUGUAUUAAACAUUCUGUGCCGUCGCAAACGCAGUAAGUAUCCCACCUGGGGAGUACGGCCGCAAGGUUGAAACUCAAAGGAAUUGACGGGGGCCCGCACAAGCAGUGGAGUAUGUGGUUUAAUUCGAAGCAACGCGAAGAACCUUACCAGGGCUUGACAUAUAGAGGAAUAUGUUAGAGAUAAUAUAGCUCUUCGGAGUCUCUAUACAGGUGGUGCAUGGUUGUCGU
rnacentral:rRNA from 1 species